rnacentral:lncRNA from 13 species
AUGUGGUGAAGGGGAGGAAGGCAGCAAAUCACACUGCCAUGUGUGUACCUAUGCAACUAUCUUGCAUGUUCUGCACAUGUACCCCAAAACCUAAAAUGCAAUUAAAAAAAAAAAAGAUUUAAUGAGUCUCAGUUCCAGCAGUCUUUGAAUGUUAUUUUAUUUGCUUUAUGUUGUGUGGCAACCUUAAUGAGUAAAACAAAUCAGUGAGUAUUUUUACCUAUUUUUGUCCUUCUUUUUACCUUUUUUUGCUACUUUCUGUACUUCAAUAAAUACAUGUAUUAAGUGAAAAAAUAAAAUCCCUACUUGCUAAUUCUAUAGGACCUGUCAUAGAAGUUUCUCUUAUACUGGCUCCAUGUCACCAAUUUGGUUCCUGUGCUCCAGUUGGCUGGCAUUAAGUGCAGUUUAAACUUGGAAUUAAUUAAUUCAAGUGACAUUUGAAAUCAUGAACUUAAUAUCAGGGCAAUAAACUAUGGGAGUUGUAUCAGUCAUGUUCAAAACCAGAAAAGAGAAACUCAAUUAAAUAUUUAAAGUAGAUGAACCUUAGCAUAGGGAAUUGGUUUAAAAUGUGAGGGAAUAGCUAAGAACAAAAAAGAGGAGAGCGUGGCAAUCUGAGCAUUACUCAAAGCAGGAAAGCUCUUUCACUCCUCAGGGUGGAGAAACAAAGGGAGGCUAUGAUGUCAUAGAGCCUGAGAAUCAAGGGUUAACUGAUGGAAUAUGGAACCAAGGUGGAGCUCUCAGAUAGGAGAUAGAGUCAUGGAUGGGGCUCUGUCCCAACUCACACAAGGACUGUUAGAUAUCCGCUCUGAGCUCUGAAGUCUCCUUGGUUGAAGGAUAAACAUUUGGACAAGAAAGAGCAAUCACCUGAGAUUACCAAGAAGAGAAAAAAGACAGCAGCUCAAGGAAGCAGAGGAAGAUUCUUUCUAGGCAGACAACUGAGUAUCCCAGCAGUGACUGACAGCAUUUCCCUUUAUUUCUGGAUGGAAAUGGGGCCGAAAGGUGCAGUCGUGCUAUUUUCACUUCUGGCUAAAACCGAGACGAUAAAAGAAGAGUUGGGUGUUACAGGGUGCCCUCAGGCACUUCAGGAAUAUACCAGAAAAUGAAAGCCUAUUGUUUGAACAGAUUUUAUUAAACAAGAGCUCUACUUUAAGAAGAAGAAAAAAAUUAUAGACUACCAG